CCAAAAGAAAGCAGAUGUUGGAUUUCACUCUGAUGGUAAUUAGUUUGAUCUUUCGGCCAAGGUCCAUUAGUUGGCUUUAUAUGAGGAAAAUAAGGGAGAGGAAGGAUGAAAUUUCAUAUUUAGUCAGUGAAAAUAAGCCUGAGAAUAACCAGACCUAUUGCUCUCUUUACAAUCCAAAGCUCAUGCUCCAGAAAUGAAUGGGUGUAUUAAGUCUGACUUUUGACCUACUAAGCACAAAAAAUUAAGCAGUUGCCAAAUUCUCUGGCCAGGUAGCUGCUGCUGCUGCUGCUAAGUCGCUUCAGUCGUGUCUGACUCUGCGCGAACCCAUAGAUGGCAGCCCACCAGGCUCCAGGCAAGAACACUGGAGUGUGUUGCCAUUUCCUUCUCCAAUGCAUGAAAGUGAAAAGUGAAAGUGAAGUCACUCAGUCGUGUCCGACUCUUCGAGACCCUAUGGACUGCAGCCUACCAGGCUCUUCUGUCCAUGGGAUUUUCCAGAUAUUUAGGCAAAAAUAGUCACAGCCAAUAAGGGCCUGAAUCCCGGAAAACACAGUGAUUGCUCCAAGAACUUUGCAGAGGAAAGAAUGUGUUCACAGCACAGCCAGGAACCGAGAGUCAUCAGCACCACAGGAAGAAGGCAGCUUCAGGUGAGGCAAGUGGCCCCUGGGCGUUUCUCUCCAGACCACAAGAUACCCAUCUCUUGGGAGAUGAGUGGACUACCUGUGUUCCCAAUUGUUCUAAAGCUUCCACUUCAGAACAGAGAGGGAUAUGAGUAAGAAAAGAUAACUUCUGUGAGUUCAUGACUCAGCUGCACCUUCUCUCCCUCUUGACGGUUCCUAGCCAGUCACCAAGAUGGGAAUGGGCAAGGUCGGCCACUGGGAGUGGGGCCAGCCACUUGUCAGAGGAAGAACAGAGGAGUCUUGGCAAUAAAGGGACCCUCCCCUCUUCAGGACACUCUCUGAAAAGGACUCUGCCAGCUUGAAACUAGCUGAAAUCAUGAACGGCAGCCAGGAUGGCUCACCCACGUCGCAGGCCUGCGGAGUCCAGGCAUCCAUCCUGCUGAGCCCUUGUCAGGCCUCUAGCAUAGCCCAGGUCUGGGAAGAAAGGGGAGCUGUGGCCCCUCGGAGACCACAGCCUGGUUACAGACCAAUC
ensembl:lncRNA